GACGAACGCUGGCGGCGUGCCUAAUACAUGCAAGUCGAACGCUUUGAUUUUCCCCGGAGCUUGCUCCACCGAAAAUCAAAGAGUGGCGGACGGGUGAGUAACACGUGGGCAACCUGCCCAACAGAGGGGGAUAACACUUGGAAACAGGUGCUAAUACCGCAUAAUUUGUUUUCCCCCAUGGGAAAAUAAUAAAAGACGCUUCGGUGUCACUGUUGGAUGGGCCCGCGCUGCAUUAGUUAGUUGGUGGGGUAAUGGCCUACCAAGACCGUGAUGCAUAGCCGACCUGAGAGGGUGAUCGGCCACACUGGGACUGAAACACGGCCCAGACUCCUACGGGAGGCAGCAGUAGGGAAUCUUCGGCAAUGGACGAAAGUCUGACCGAGCAACGCCGCGUGAGUGAAGAAGGUUUUCGGAUCUUAAAACUCUGUUGUUAGAGAAGAACAAGUGGGAGAGUAACUGUUCCCACCUUGACGGUAUCUAACCAGAAAGCCACGGCUAACUACGUGCCAGCAGCCGCGGUAAUACGUAGGUGGCAAGCGUUGUCCGGAUUUAUUGGGCGUAAAGCGAGCGCAGGCGGUUUCUUAAGUCAUGAUGUGAAAGCCCUCGGCUCAACCGAGGAAGGUCAUUGGAAACUGGGGAACUUGAAUGCAGAAGAGGAGAGUGGAAUUCCUUGUGCAGCGGUGAAAUGCGUAGAUAUAUGGAGGAACACCAGUGGCGAAGGCGACUCUCUGGUCUGUAAUUGACGCUGAGGCUCGAAAGCGUGGAGAGCAAACAGG
rnacentral:rRNA from 1 species